AUGGUCAUGAGCGCAAUCUAGCUGGGCCUCGAGCUCUUUAGUGAUGGUCCCGAUGGACCUCUUCUCCACCACAGCACAGGAACACUCUGGCACCCAGGGCCCCGUCAACUGAUGAAGGAUAAAUGACAAAGAUACCACACAACGGACAAAGAACAAGCCCUCACAACCGAUGAUAGAGAUGGCUUGGCCAGGAUGUUCCUCCAGCGUUUUCUGUCUGUCAGUGACGGAUGCCAGUAGCUAUGGAGCAAACCUUCACACCGAUUCCUACUCACUGGCAUAAUCUCCCUGGCUUCUAGAAGGAUGUUAAACUCUUCCUUACUUUUCUCUAGGUCAAUCAAUGCAGCAUCCUCCAAAUCUGCAUGCCUGGGUAUUAUUGCCAUCUCUUUUUCCCAUUCAUCCAUAGUCAUGCCACCAAAAGAUCAAAAGAAAUGUUCCACUCAUCCAUUUCAGUUUUCGCAACAAAGUAUUGAUUUAGCCAGUCAAAUGAAAAAAAAAUGUUAUAUGUUGCUAUGACAACGAGCUCAAUUUACUGUCAGUGUCGUUCGGACACAUUCACUUUAUAUGGGACAGUGGAGAUUGCAAUUUAAUAUUGAAACAAUAUUGAAAAGGUCGGAGAGAAAGACAGCGGGUUUUAUACUAAUCUCUGCUGGUGAAAACCAAAUGCUAGUCUAAAAGAAAUAGGAGAUAAUGUCUAGAUGAUUUUUAUAGUGGAGAUCAAGUUUAUACAUUUCAUGGCAGGGUUGAUGAGACAGUGGAUUGCGCAGUGAUAUGGAACAGAGUAAAUAGGCAUUUCAACGUCAUAGAUUUAGCCGGUGGUAACUUGUGAAAUAGACACGGCUAUAAUGUGGUUUUAACCAAUCAGCAUUCAGGAUUAGACCCACCCGUUUUAUAAUGUAUUUCAGUCAAUGUCACUCUGACAUUGCUCGUGCUAAUUUUUAUAUAUUUCUUAAUUCCAUCCUUUCACUUUUAGAUUUGUGUGUAUUGUUGUGAAUUCUUAGAUGCUACUGCGCUGUUGUAGCUAGGAACACUAGCAUUUCACUACACCUGCAAUAACAUCUGAUAAAUAUGUGUAUGUGACCAAUACAAUUUGAUUUGAUGAUAAUUCUCAUCAUCAAAAGAGUGAUCAAAUGAAGAUCCUACAUCUGUAGUGUGUCACACUGAGAGGGAAAGUGGAGUGAGAUCCUGACAUGGACUUACACAGCAGACACACCGUUUAACAUCUUCACCGAUGGCGGGUCAAUUACACGGGUGUAAUUGCAAUAAUUCCAAUACCGCCGCAGUCAAGCUUGACAGUUUCCAGACCAGCUCCUAUAAUUGCAGGUUGACAUAUGCAACUGGAAAUCAAAGGGAGCUCACAGUAUAGAGUGGAGCACUAGUCUAUGACUUCCGAUGUGGAACAGUGGAUAGCUCAUGCAACAAAAGCUGGAGUUAUUAGCAGGAGUUGUUAAUGGUAAAUUGGUGUGAAUGCCAAAUCGUCAGGGUUAGGAUUGAAUGAGAUGAGAAGGGAGGAGUGGGUUUUGGCAGUGCAGAGACAUUGGUAGACCCUACACUCUUACAAAAAUGGGUUCCAAAAGGGUUCGCCGGCUGUCCAUAGAAGAACCAUUUUUUGGUUCCAGGUAUAUCCCUUUUAGUUUCCAUGUAGAACCAAAAGGGUUCAACCAGGAACCAGAAAGGGUUAUUCAAAGAACCCCUUUAGGUUUUAGUUAGCACCUUUUUUGUACAUUCCAAAGGUAUUUGUUUCUGGAAAUUGGAUAUUGGACAUUGUCUCACAUUGUUUGUGUGACUGUGUUUGAGAGUGUUCAGAUCUUCCAUUCCUUUCAAAUCUUUUGGUAUUUGUUUCAUUAGUCCAUUGUUGAUAUAGUCACAAAACUUUAAAAACACAGAAAUACAGGUGGUAUGAUGCAAAAUGCAUCAUACCGGCUGUAUUUAUGUAUUUUGAAAGUUAAAUACCUUGAAAACUUAAUUGCUGAAAUGUGAAAAAAUGUGCGACUAUAUCAGCAAUGAACUAAUGAAACAAAUACAAAAACAUAAUUUAGGGUGGAGUUUUCCUUUAAGCACUUUAUGUCAAAUGCAUUUCUCAAAAAAUAAUCCAAUGGCUAAAUAAAUACAUCUUGAUUAAUUAAUUGAGCUGCUCCACUAUGCCUGUCCAAAUGUCAGUUGGAGGCUUCAUCAAAAGGACCACACUCAAGGCUAAUCCUCGUCUUUCAUGUGGUCACAGAGAAACCGGAGACCGUGGGUGAGGUGUAGCCCUGUGAGCUAAACCCCAGUGAGGCUCCUGUAUUCUCUCACUUGUCUAUAGAUGCUCCAAACCACAUCUCUCUCGUGGUGGGAUUCCAGAGGCUAGCUAGUGGCCAAGAACACUGUAAGGAAUAUCUGAGUCUUGCUUCCAGGAGCUAGCGCACCAUUAGGAUUUACGGCAGUGGAACAUAAAGCACUCAGGGACAAUCCCCAUCUAUAUAUCGGUAACAUAAAUUUUAGCGUUGCUAUUAUAGGGAAAAGAGAAAGGGGUAGAGUGCAAUUAC